rnacentral:rRNA from 1 species
GUGCAUUUAUCAGAUCCAAAAACCCAUCGGGGGGCUCGUGCCCCCGGCACGCUUUGGUGACUCUAGAUAACCUCGGCCGAUCGCGCGCCCUCGGCGGCGGCGACGUGUCUUUCGAAUGUCUGCCCUAUCAACUUUCGAUGGUCCUUUCGGCCCCUACCAUGGUGACCACGGGUAACGNNNNCGACUUCUGGAAGGGACGCAUUUAUUAGAUAAAAGGUCGACGCGGGCUCCGCCGGUUGCUGCGAUGAUUCAUGAUAACUCGACGGAUCGCACGGCCCUCGUGCCGGCGACGCAUCAUUCAAAUUUCCUGCCCUAUCAACUUUCGAUGGUAGGAUAGUGGCCUACUAUGGUGGUGACGGGUGACGGAGGAAUUGGGUUUGAUCUCCGGAGAGGGAGCCUGAGAAACGGCUACCACAUCCAAGGAAGUCAGCAGGCGCGCAAAUUACCCAAUCCUGACACGGGGAGGUAGUGACAAUAAAUAACAAUACCGGGCUCUUAGAGUCUGGUAAUUGGAAUGAGUACAAUCUAAAUCCCUUAACGAGGAACCAUUGGAGGGCAAGUCUGGUGCCAGCAGCCGGUAAUUCCAGCUCCAAUAGCGUAUAUUAAAGUUGCUGCAGUUAAAAAGCUCGUAGUUGGAUCUCGGGAUCGAGCUGGCGGUCCGCCGAAAGGCGAGCUACCGCCUGUCCCAGCCCCUGCCUCUCGGCGCCCCCUCGAUGCUCUUAGCUGAGUGUCCCGUUGCUGCAGUUAAAAAGCUCGUAGUUGGAUUUCCGGGAGUGGGCUGGCGGUCCGCCGCGAGGCGUGCCACCGUCUGUCCCGUACCCCUGCCUCCCGCGCUCCCCGGAUGCCCUUAGCUGGGUGUCCGACGGGGUCCGAAGCGUUUACUUUGGAAAAAAUUAGAGUGUUCAAAGCAGGCCGCAGCACGCCUGAAUACCGCAGCUAGGAGGAAUGGAAUAGGACUCCGGUUCUAUUUUGUGGGUUUUCGGAACCAGGGCCAUGAAUAAGAGGGACGGCCGGGGGCAUUCGUAUUGCGCCGCUAGAGGUGAAAUUCUUGGACCGGCGCAAGACGGACGAAAGCGAAAGCAUUUGCCAAGAAUUUUUUAUUAAUCAAGAACGAAAGUCGGAGGUCCGAAGACGAUCAGAUACCGUCCUUAGUUCCGACCGUAAUCGAUGCCGACCCGCGAUCCGGCGGCGUUAUUCCCAUGACCCGCCGGGCAGCGUGCGGGAACCACGCGGCACCUUAUGAGAAAUCAAAGUUUUUGGGUUCCGGGGGGGUAUGGUCGCAAAGCUGAAACUUAAAGGAAUUGACGGAAAGGCACCACCAGGAGUGGAGCCUGCGGCUUAAUUUGAGACAACACG